rnacentral:rRNA from 1 species
UGGGAACGUACCUCUUGGUUCGGAACAACACAGGGAAACUUGUGCUAAUACCGGAUAAGCCCUUACGGGGAAAGAUUUAUCGCCGAGAGAUCGGCCCGCGUCUGAUUAGCUAGUUGGUGAGGUAGCGGCUCACCAAGGCGACGAUCAGUAGCUGGUCUGAGAGGAUGAUCAGCCACACUGGGACUGAGACACGGCCCAGACUCCUACGGGAGGCAG